rnacentral:rRNA from 1 species
CACGUAGGGUGCGAGCGUUGUCCGGAAUUAUUGGGCGUAAAGAGCUCGUAGGCGGUGUGUCGCGUCGGCCGUGAAAACCUGCAGCUUAACUGUGGGCUUGCGGUCGAUACGGGCAUCACUGGAGUUCGGCAGGGGAGACUGGAAUUCCUGGUGUAGCGGUGAAAUGCGCAGAUAUCAGGAGGAACACCGAUGGCGAAGGCAGGAUCUCUGGGCCAUAACUGACGCUGAGAAGCGAAAGCAUGGGGAGCGAACAGGA